GCUUGUUUCAUGUGUGACAAAGAAGACCGCUCACUGCUGCCAGCGUAAAAGGGAUGGUGAACAGAAAGUUGAUGAAACAUUUGAAAAUGACAAGCCAAAUGGUGCUCAGGAGCAUGGAGUAAAUUAUGCUGCCUUGGAUUUUGGGAAAAGAAAAAACAAAAACAGAGAAAUGAAGAGAGAUUUGGGAAUGGAAACGACUUAUUCAAGCGUUCGAUUACAAUAGUCACAGAGUCAUCACAAUGAAAAGAGAGGAAGGUGCAGAGACCACAUAAUCAACGGUCUUCAUGUACAUAAUAAAGGAAGAUUGUACUGAAAUAAGCCUGACAUUUGUAAGAUUAUUAGAGGGCAUCGCACCCU